GAGGGUAUAGCGCAAGUGGUAGAGUGCAUGCCUAGCACGCACGGAGGUCCUGGGUUCAAUCCCCAGUACCUCCA
rnacentral:tRNA from 1 species